AGAGUUUGAUCAUGGCUCAGGACGAACGCUGGCGGCGUGCCUAAUACAUGCAAGUCGAGCGAAUUUUUGGGAGCUUGCUCCCAAAAAUUAGCGGCGGACGGGUGAGUAACACGUGGGCAACCUGCCUAUAAGACUGGGAUAACUUCGGGAAACCGGAGCUAAUACCGGAUAAUUCACAUCUACUCAUGUAGAUGUGCUGAAAGACGGUUUACGCUGUCACUUAUAGAUGGGCCCGCGGCGCAUUAGCUAGUUGGUGAGGUAACGGCUCACCAAGGCCACGAUGCGUAGCCGACCUGAGAGGGUGAUCGGCCACACUGGGACUGAGACACGGCCCAGACUCCUACGGGAGGCAGCAGUAGGGAAUCUUCCGCAAUGGACGAAAGUCUGACGGAGCAACGCCGCGUGAGUGAUGAAGGUUUUCGGAUCGUAAAACUCUGUUGUUAGGGAAGAACAAGUACCGGAGUAACUGCCGGUACCUUGACGGUACCUAACCAGAAAGCCACGGCUAACUACGUGCCAGCAGCCGCGGUA
rnacentral:rRNA from 1 species